UGCAACCCGACUCCGUGAAGCUGGAUUCGCUGUAAUCGCGCAUCAGCCAUGGCGCGGUGAAUACGUUCCCGGGUCCUUGUACACACCGCCCGUCAAGCCAUGGGAGCCGGGGGUGCUUGAAGUGCGUCGCCGCAAGGCGCGCCCUAGAGCAAAACCGGUGACUGGGGCUAAGUCGUAACAAGGUAGC
rnacentral:rRNA from 1 species